UACCAGCACCCCGAGUGGUCGGGACGUUUUAUUGGGCCUAAAGCAUCCGUAGCCGGUUCUACAAGUCUUCCGUUAAAUCCAACUGCUUAACAGGUGGGCCGCGGAAGAUACUAUAGAGCUAGGAGGCGGGAGAGGCAAGCGGUACUCGAUGGGUAGGGGUAAAAUCCGUUGAUCCAUUGAAGACCACCAGUGGCGAAGGCGGCUUGCCAGAACGCGCUCGACGGUGAGGAUGAAAGCUGGGGGAGCAAACCGG
rnacentral:rRNA from 1 species